GGGGCUUUGGCGCAGUUGGUAGCGCGUUUCCAUGGCAUGGAAAAGGUCAGGGGUUCGAAUCCCCUAAGCUCCACCA
rnacentral:tRNA from 3 species